rnacentral:rRNA from 1 species
UUAGAGUUUGAUCCUGGCUCAGGAUGAACGCUAGCGGCAGGCUUAACACAUGCAAGUCGAGGGGCAGCAGGGAGUAGCAAUACUCCGCUGGCGACCGGCGCACGGGUGCGUAACGCGUAUGCAACCUGCCUCGGACAGGGGGAUAACCCAGGGAAACUUGGACUAAUACCCCAUAUUCUUGCGGACUCACAUGUUUCUGCAAGGAAAGCUACGGCGGUCUGAGAUGGGCAUGCGUGACAUUAGGUAGUUGGCGGGGCAACGGCCCACCAAGCCGACGAUGUCUAGGGGAGCUGAGAGGCUUAUCCCCCACACUGGUACUGAGACACGGACCAGACUCCUACGGGAGGCAGCAGUGAGGAAUAUUGGUCAAUGGGCGUAAGCCUGAACCAGCCAAGUAGCGUGCAGGAUUACGGCCCUACGGGUUGUAAACUGCUUUUGCGCAGGGAUAAAAAAGCCCACGUGUGGGCUCUUGCAGGUACUGCGUGAAUAAGGACCGGCUAAUUCCGUGCCAGCAGCCGCGGUAAUACGGAAGGUCCGAGCGUUAUCCGGAUUUAUUGGGUUUAAAGGGUGCGCAUGCGGAGAUGCAAGCCAGCCGUAAAAAUCGUGGGGCUCAACCCAUUUAGCGGUUGGAACUUCAUCCCUUGAUUGCGGCAGAGGGAGGUGGAACUCGUGGUGUAGCGGUGAAAUGCAUAGAUAUCACGAAGAACUCCGAUUGCGAAGGCAGCCUCCUGGACCGUAAAUGACGCUCAUGCACGAAGGCGCGGGUAUCAAACAGGAUUAGAUACCCUGGUAGUCCGCGCAGUAAACUAUGAAUGCUCGCGGUUCGCCCUUCGGGCGUGCCGCCUAGCGAAAGCGUUAAGCAUUCCACCUGGGGAGUACGCCGGCAACGGUGAAACUCAAAGGAAUUGACGGGGGCCCGCACAAGCGGAGGAACAUGUGGUUUAAUUCGAUGAUACGCGAGGAACCUUACCCGGGCUUGAAAUGCGACUGACGGCAGAGAGAGACCUCUGCCUCCUUCGGGCAGUCGUGUAGGUGCUGCAUGGUUGUCGUCAGCUCGUGCCGUGAGGUGUCGGCUUAAGUGCCAUAACGAGCGCAACCCCUACCGCCGGUUACCAUCGGGUUAUGCCGGGGACUCCGGCGGCACUGCCAUCGCAAGAUGCGAGGAAGGCGGGGAUGACGUCAAAUCAGCACGGCCCUUACGUCCGGGGCCACACACGUGUUACAAUGGGGGGCACAGCGAGCAGGUGCAUGGCGACAUGCAUCGAAUCAUGAAAUCCCCUCCCAGUUCGGACUGGAGUCUGCAACCCGACUCCACGAAGCUGGAUUCGCUAGUAAUCGCGCAUCAGCCAUGGCGCGGUGAAUACGUUCCCGGGCCUUGUACACACCGCCGGUCA